rnacentral:sRNA from 1 species
GACUAAGGGCUUGACUCGUUUAAACGCAGCGGAUACGGUUGUUGUUGCGAGAGUUUGCUUUAUCCCUGUGAUUUAAUUUAUAAACUUCAAAUCUACCAAUAUUUUAGUAUGCAAAAUGUUAUUGUGCAACAUACAAUAAUAUGAUGGUACGAACCUUUUGGGAAGUGGAUGGAAAAAAUACAGACUAACAAUAAAUUUAGGAUGGUACGAAGUUGUAUGCUCAAUU